UACGGGGGGUGCGAGCGUUGUCCGGAAUCACUGGGCGUAAAGGGUGCGUAGGUGGUUGCGUAAGUAAGGUGUGAAAUCCCUCGGCUUACCCGGGGAAUUGCAUUUUAUACUGCGUGGCUUGAGGACUAAAGGGGAAAAGGGAACUCCAGGUGUAGCGGUGAAAUGCGCAGAUAUCUGGGGGAAGGCCGGCGGCGAAGGCGCUUUUCUGGUUAGUACCUGACACUGAGGCACGAAAGCGUGGGGAGCAAACAGG
rnacentral:rRNA from 1 species